rnacentral:rRNA from 1 species
ACGCUGGCGGCAGGCCUAAAACAUGCAAGUCGAACGCCGUAGCAAUACGGAGUGGCAGACGGGUGAGUAACACGUGGGAACGUACCCUUUGGUUCGGAACAACACAGGGAAACUUGUGCUAAUACCGGAUAAGCCCUUACGGGGAAAGAUUUAUCACCGAAGGAUCGGCCCGCGUCUGAUUAGCUAGUUGGUGAGGUAACGGCUCACCAAGGCUACGAUCAGUAGCUGGUCCGAGAGGAUGAUCAGCCACACUGGGACUGAGACACGGCCCAGACUCCUACGGGAGGCAGCAGUUAGGAAUCUUGGACAAUGGGCGCAAGCCUGAUCCAGCCAUGCCGCGUGAGUGAUGAAGGCCUUAGGGUUGUAAAGCUCUUUCAGCGGGGAAGAUAAUGACGGUACCCGCAGAAGAAGCCCCGGCUAACUUCGUGCCAGCAGCCGCGGUAAUACGAAGGGGGCUAGCGUUGCUCGGAAUCACUGGGCGUAAAGCGCACGUAGGCGGCUUUCUAAGUCAGGGGUGAAAUCCUGGAGCUCAACUCCAGAACUGCCCUUGAUACUGGAGAGCUUGAGUCCGGGAGAGGUGAGUGGAACUCCGAGUGUAGAGGUGAAAUUCGUAGAUAUUCGGAAGAACACCAGUGGCGAAGGCGGCUCACUGGCCCGGUACUGACGCUGAGGUGCGAAAGCGU